rnacentral:rRNA from 1 species
UUACCGAGUUUACAACUCCCAAACCCAUGUGAACAUACCUAUUGUUGCUUCGGCGGGAUUGCCCCGGGCGCCUCGCGUGCCCCGGAUCAGGCGCCCGCCUAGGAACUUUAACUCUUGUUUUAUUUUGAAUCUUCUGAGUAGUUUUUACAAAUAAAUAAAAACUUUCAACAACGGAUCUCUUGGUUCUGGCAUCGAUGAAGAACGCAGCGAAAUGCGAUAAGUAAUGUGAAUUGCAGAAUUCAGUGAAUCAUCGAAUCUUUGAACGCACAUUGCGCCCGCCAGUAUUCUGGCGGGCAUGCCUGUCUGAGCGUCAUUUCAACCCUCAUGCCCCUAGGGCGUGGUGUUGGGGAUCGGCCAAAGCCCGCGAGGGACGGCCGGCCCCUAAAUCUAGUGGCGGACCCGUCGUGGCCUCCUCUGCGAAGUAGUGAUAUUCCGCAUCGGAGAGCGAUGAGCCCCUGCCGUUAAACCCCCAACUUUCUAAGGUUGACCUCAGAUCAGGUAGGAAUACCCGCUGAACUUAAGCAUAUCAAUAAG